rnacentral:rRNA from 1 species
GCGGUAAUACGGGAGUGGCAAGCGUUAUCCGGGAAUUAUUGGGCGUAAAGCGUCCGCAGGCGGCCCUUCAAGUCUGCUGUUAAAACGUGGAGCUUAACUCCAUCAUGGCAGUGGAAACUGUUGGGCUUGAGUGUGGUAGGGGCAGAGGGAAUUCCCGGUGUAGCGGUGAAAUGCGUAGAUAUCGGGAAGAACACCAGUGGCGAAGGCGCUCUGCUGGGCCAUAACUGACGCUCAUGGACGAAAGCCAGGGGAGCGAAAGGGAUUAGAUACCCCUGUAGUCCUGGCCGUAAACGAUGAACACUAGGUGUCGGGGGAAUCGACCCCCUCGGUGUCGUAGCCAACGCGUUAAGUGUUCCGCCUGGGGAGUACGCACGCAAGUGUGAAACUCAAAGGAAUUGACGGGGGCCCGCACAAGCGGUGGAGUAUGUGGUUUAAUUCGAUGCAACGCGAAGAACCUUACCAGGGUUUGACAUCCUGCGAACCUCUUGGAAACGAGAGGGUGCCUUCGGGAACGCAGUGACAGGUGGUGCAUGGCUGUCGUCAGCUCGUGUCGUGAGAUGUUGGGUUAAGUCCCGCAACGAGCGCAACCCACGUCUUUAGUUGCCAGCAUUUAGUUGGGCACUCUAGAGAGACCGCCGGUGAUAAACCGGAGGAAGGUGUGGAUGACGUCAAGUCAUCAUGCCCCUUACAUCCUGGGCUACACACGUACUACAAUGCUACGGACAAAGAGCAGCAAGUUCGCGAGGACAAGCAAAUCUCAUAAACCGUGGCUCAGUUCAGAUCGUAGGCUGCAACUCGCCUACGUGAAGGAGGAAUCGCUAGUAAUCGCAGGUCAGCAUACUGCGGUGAAUACGUUCCCGGGCCUUGUACACACCGCCCGUCACACCAUGGAAGUUGGCCACGCCCGAAGCCGUUACUCCAACCCUUGUGGAGGAGGACGUCGAAGGUGGGGCUGAUGACUGGGGUGAAGUCGUAACAAGGUAGCCG